UGUGCCUGACUAUUGAAUUAUCCCAUCGUUUGCAUCUCAAGAACUGUAAAACCAUUAAGAACAAUCAAAGGCCAUGAGCAGCUGCUGUCAUAUAUAACCAUCUAUGAACCUGAUGUCGCUGAUGUUUCGAACCGAGAACUCAAACUCUGUCAGCAAAUAAAUCGAGAAGAGAACAGCAGUCAAGAGCAUCCAUGUUUCCUCGCAGCCGAUAACCAAAACGAACAAGCACCGAUUCUUCUCAAAUCAACCCAACUCUAGUUUGUGUUGCUGGCUGUUCGACAUACUAAGAACAGUACAGAUCAAGAGCUGAUGCUUCUCUGAUUUCUUGACUGAAUCCAGUCCAUAACCUUCAAUCAAUUGAACCUCAAAUAUCACCAGCAACACUAUUUCUUUCAUAAUUUCUUUAGAAAACCAAAACCCCCAAAUUGUAUCUGUUGCUGUAAGAAGCCCUAAUUGUUGUUACCGUUUCUCAAUGGAGAAUAUCAAUCGAUGCCCAGAACUCCCAAAUUCUGACCUGUCUUCCCUUUUGAUUAACAUUGACUUGCAUGGAUCUCGUCUUCAUUCCCAUCAGCAGAAUUAUCCAAACAGCCACCAAAACCAACACCCAUCCUUUAGUUCUUCCAUUCCCUGUUUUCUUCAUGGAAUCCAGGCCACGACUCGACCCACAGACAUCACCAGCAAACCCCAACAGAUGCAUCAUCUUCGCUGCUCUACCGAUCUCUUCCACCACCACCGGCAAUUGUUCUUCGCCAUUCAAUACCAAUUUUAGCUGCUUGACAUGUAAAUGGUGAAGUGAAGGAAUGGAUAUGUUUGAUGCUUGAACUACUAAUGGAAUAAUUUGAGUCAAAGUUUUCUCUUCCCAUGAGCGGCUAAUCUCACAGCUUACCGGACCUGCACAGAGCUUAGGGCUGCUAGAUCACGGUGGUUACUGGAUGUUUUCUUAUCUUUGCCGAAUAUGGCCUUUAGCAAGGGCUUUGCUUCUGCAUGGAAAGCUGACGUUGCCCACUCCGAACCCGCAGAAAGAUGCAUGAAAGUCUCCUCAUCAGUAGAGUAUAGGAUGAAAGUGUAUCCC